rnacentral:rRNA from 1 species
AACGUAGGACGCAAGCGUUAUCCGGAGUUACUGGGCGUAAAGCGCGGGCAGGCGGUUCCUUAAGUCUGAUGUGAAAUCUCCCGGCUCAACCGGGAGCAGCCAUUGGAAACUAGGGAACUGGAGGGCGAGAGAGGUAGGCGGAAUUCCGGGAGGAGUGGUGAAAUGCGUAGAGAUCCGGAGGAACACCAGAGGCGAAGGCGGCCUACUGGCUCGCACCUGACGCUGAGCCGCGAAAGCCAGGGGAGCGAACGGG